UGCAGUCGAGGGGCAGCACAGAUUGCUUGCAAUCAGGUGGCGACCGGCGCACGGGUGCGUAACGCGUAUGCAACCUACCUUUUACAGGGGGAUAGUCAAUAGAAAUGUUGAAUAAUACCCCAUACGAUCCUAUUUAGGCAUCUAAAUAGGAAGAAAACUCCGGUGGUAAAAGAUGGGCAUGCGUCCUAUUAGCUAGAUGGUGAGGUAACGGCUCACCAUGGCUACGAUAGGUAGGGGUCCUGAGAGGGAGAUCCCCCACACUGGUACUGAGACACGGACCAGACUCCUACGGGAGGCAGCAGUGAGGAAUAUUGGACAAUGGAGGCAACUCUGAUCCAGCCAUGCCGCGUGCAGGAAGACGGCCCUAUGGGUUGUAAACUGCUUUUAUACAGGAAGAAUGUUACCUACGAGUAGGUAUUUGACGGUACUGUAAGAAUAAGGAUCGGCUAACUCCGUGCCAGCAGCCGCGGUAAUACGGAGGAUCCAAGCGUUAUCCGGAAUCAUUGGGUUUAAAGGGUCCGCAGGCGGUUCAUUAAGUCAGAGGUGAAAUCCUGCCGCUCAACGGUAGCAUUGCCUUUGAUACUGAUGGACUUGAGUUAUAGUGAAGUAGUUAGAAUGUGUAGUGUAGCGGUGAAAUGCAUAGAUAUUACACAGAAUACCGAUUGCGAAAGCAGAUUACUAACUGUAUACUGACGCUGAGGGACGAAAGCGUGGGUAGCGAACAGGAUUAGAUACCCUGGUAGUCCACGCCGUAAACGAUGGAUACUAGCUGUUUGACCAACAAUGGUUGGUUGAGUGGCUAAGCGAAAGU
rnacentral:rRNA from 1 species